rnacentral:rRNA from 1 species
UUAAAAAGCUCGUAGUUGGAUUUCGGAAUGGGCCAGUUGGUCCGCCUCACGGUGUGUUACUGGCUGGUCUGUUCUUCUUCGCAAAGACUGCGUGUGCUCUUUACCGAGUGUGCGUAGGAUUUACGACGCUUACUUUGAAAAAAUUAGAGUGUUCAAAGCAGGCCUACCGCUUGAAUACAUGAGCAUGGAAUAAUGGAAUAGGACUUUGGUCUUAUUUUGUUGGUUUCUAAGACCGAAGUAAUGAUUAAGAGGGACAGUUGGGGGCAUUCGUAUUUCGUUGUCAGAGGUGAAAUUCUUGGAUUUACGAAAGACGAACAACUGCGAAAGCAUUUGCCAAGAAUGUUUUCAUUAAUCAAGAACGAAAGUUAGAGGAUCGAAGACGAUCAGAUACCGUCCUAGUUCUAACCAUAAACGAUGUCAACUAGGGAUCAGUGGGCGUUACAUACGACCUCAUUGGCACCUUAAGGGAAACCAAAGUUUUUGGAUUCCGGGGGAAGUAUGGUUGCA